GCCCAACCUCCACGGUGGAUGUUUUUGGAGUUGGCAGGGUGCGUCCUGUAAACAUCCCAAACCAUUAAAAACUCAAUAUGCAUACACAUAAAUGCAUUUUUUUUAAUAAUAUCAACUUCAUAUUUAUAAUUAUAAUAAAGUUCAAAACUAACAAAAUACAUAUAACUAAGCCACAGUCACAGGAUACUCAAACAAAAAAUCUUUCCGCACAAAAUUUUAGAUAUAUAUUCAGAGACACUGUUGUUUGUUAUUUACAAUUAUACGUCUUAUCAAAAUCUUGCCUAUACAUACAAUGGAAACAAAUUUUAUAGUCUAUUUGUAAAGAUUUGUUCAAAAUAUACAACACAUUUUGUGUAGUUUGAUCUGGUGCAGGGAAAAUUAGCCAAAAAAAGGUAAGGGGUGCUCUCAUGGCAUGUGACUUCAGUUGGCCUGCUAUUGCCUCUGCAUAUAUGUUUUUUAUUUUGUGCACUUCCAUAAAAAUUAAAAUUUUAUUUUUUACCUUCUUACACGAAAACUUGUUCAAUUCAAAUUAGGCUUCUCAAUCAAAAUCAUUUUCGGAUUGUAUAAUAAAAGAUAUCUUUUAAAUUAUACAAUUUGAAAUAAAACUAAAUGACUUUUAAAUUAUAUAAUUUACAUUAGACUUCUAAAAUAACUUCUGAAUUUUACAAUAAAAAAUUAAAAAUUAAAAAAAAAAAAAGUUUUAUGUUGUACAAUUUAGAAUAGACUUACAAUAUACGGAAGCAACUCUUCCUAAAAAACAUUUUCAAAUUCUACAAGUUAGGAAAAUCCUGGAUCACAAGGGAGAACUAACAAGACAGGGGAAGUGGAGAGAGAAGAAAUAAAAACAGGGAUGUCUAAGGUUAGUUUUGUCUUUCACACACCCCUCUGGAGUGUAGGAGGAAAGCAUAGGAGUGCAAAAAGAAAUCCCUCCUCUGCAAACAUGUAAGCCCAACUUCACUUUUGGCCCAAAACUGCAAGUUCAACUAUGAUAAUCAUCCAAAGAGUACUAACCAAAAAAUUAUGCAAAAUUAAGACGAAAUUCAUUAAAAAAUUAAAGACUAAAAUAAUAAAAAAAACAAAGAGCAAGAUCACAUACAAAGGAAUAAAAUGGAGACCAAAAUUGCAAUAAAAUAAAUCGUAAUUUUUCUGCAAAUACAAAAUUGCAAUAAAAUAAAUUGCAAUACACAGAAUUGUACCUGCACUCUAAUUUCAACCUCAAAGAAAUAUCUGCAUUUGAAAAAUGGAAAAAAUCACAAAAAGUAAAAUAAAAUUUAAUACAUAUAAGAUGAAAUGUCAUUAUUUAUGUGAAUGAAGUAGACUGAGACAUACCAGUAAACAGUUUAAAAGGGAAUCAUCAAAUUUGAGUGAUCAAUGCUAACUCAUAUUUCAACCACAAGUCAAGGAAAAGAUCAAUAGUGAUUGGUCUUGGUGUUUGGUUCCUGCAUAAAUAUAUAAGUAAAUUAGGGGAAAAAACGUGUAGAAUAUGGUUUCAAAUGAUCUUUGGCAUUAAGCCAUCACGUGGGAUGUGACCCACCAGUCCCCUUAAAGGCAAAUCACCUCACGAGACGCCACCAUGAAUACAUAUAAUUAACAUAUAUAUAUAUAUAUAUAUAUAUAUAUAUAUAUGAAUUUGUGAAGCCAAAUGAUGAUAAAGCCCUUGAUUAAUUUGUGUGCAGUUGCUGUCUUAGAAGAAUUUUGUAAGGAUAUUGUCUUAGCCUAUGGGGUUAGUGAUGGGUACAGUUUUAUUGUUAAGAAAACCAGUUGUUGUCUCAGAAAAGUUUUGUAAGGAUACACGUGACCUAACUUCCCUAUUCACACCUAGGACCUUUCCUUCACUUAAUCAUAACCUCCCAUCCCACUCAUACUAUUCAAUUUAUUUAACCCUUUUACAAAGAAAAUCAAGUCAAUCUACAUUAGCCAAUAACGAAGGCCAAAGUACAGAUUUUCCACCUAAGAUACAAAUAAAAAUCUCACCAACAAAUUACCCAAAAACAGAUUCUAUCUACUAUGCAGUAGUUAGGCAAGAGUACCACAUAUAUUCUACAACAAUAGCAGUGACACCUACCAAGGUUUGAAGAUUUCACAUGCCAAAAUCAAUCAUGCAACUUAUAAGUUAUAGGAAAUAAAAAAAAAGUGAAAUGUGCUUUUUCGUAACUUAAAAUUAACUUGUGCAAAAUAAAAAUUUAGAAAAGUUAUAUGAAAGAACUUCUACAAAUCAGCUUGCGCAUAAACUAAUUUGAGUUUGUGGAAAAGUUCUUCUGAUUUUUUUUCUCCUACAAAUGCUUAUAAAGAAGUUUGUUCAAACAAAUCUUGGGUCCGGAAAUUGGUCUUCUCUUUCUGGAGAUGAGUUUUUUUCCCCAAUAAGUUCAUAUUUCAAGUGAAAGCAGCUGCAUCGAACUGUUUGCUGGGUUUCUCUCUUUUUCUCCUGCUUUUAUAUGCUUGCUAACAUGGUUUUCUGUUACAAGGUUGGUCAACAACCUGGGAGAAGAACACUUUGGAAAUGGGUAUGGUAUCUAAAGCUUACUUAAAUAUGAUUAGUUGAAUUAUUUGUUCAUGGCAACAGUUUAAAAAUGCUCUUAGUGUUAAAUAGAUAUGUAUCCCUGCUGAUAAAAAAAAAAUAGAUACGUAUCCCAUGCCUCAGCUUUUUAUUCUGUAUGCCGUAUUGGUGAUUGGUUUUGCUUUCGUCUGUAACAGGAAAGUCCAUAAGUAUGGAAAUAGCACAACUGGUGAGAGCUGGGAUAUAGUUGUAGAUGAAGAAACUUAUUACGAGUAAGAACAUUCUUUUCAACUACUAACUAGAUGAAAAACUGAAUGUAAAGAGUAUAUCCAUCCUUUAUCUAAUCUAAAAAAGCCUUUGAUGCAUCUAAAUGGUUUAGUCCAUAUAGAAGUAUGUGUCUACUGCUUGUUGGGUAACACACAAGUACACAUUCUUUCUGUUUUUAUAAAGAAAAAAAUUGCCACAAAAUACUCGAGCAUUACAAUACAGUGACAGAUGUCUUAGAUCGGGAUGAAACGUAAUAGUUCACUCUAUGCUUUGUACACAUUAAAAAUAGAAUAUAUUUUGAAUUAUCAAAUUAAUCCUUAAAAUUCCGAGUUUGAUAAUGUCAUUAACGUUUGUCAUUAUGAAUGAGGAUAGGCAUAUUGCUAAUUUGAAUUUGAUAAUGUCUCAAAUUUAGGGCCGAACCUCAUUAUGGACGGGCGGAUGUUGUGGGUGAUUCAACCCAAUUACUUUCAAUUGAGCCUCCGGAGAGGCCUCCUGGGGUCUUUCCUAAUAUAGACUUUGGUUCGCCUCUGUCACCUGAAACAGAAACCACUAAGUGCAGUCUAUAAACUGCAAAGGUUUUCCUUUAGAUAUACAUAUAUUUCCUACUUCCUAGCAAACUCAAUUCAAUUUUGUGUGCAACUAUCUAUACGUCGAACGGUUGUCCUCUAAAUCUACUUCCAUUGCUCGCUUCCGAUCCCCCUUUUACAUAUUCAAGUACAAGUCCAAAACACUCCCAAAAUUCAGCACCAAACUGAGGUCAUUAUGUCCUUAGAAAUGCAGAAGAUUCGUAUGAUUAAAUUUUUUAGAUGUCAUUUUACCACAGUUCGGCCAGUAUUCAGAAAAAGACCUGGUGAAAAAAUCAAUAAGUCUUGGAAGCUAUAACCUGUCCCUGCUGAAGCACAUCUAGAUUUCACACAUUAAGACUAAAACUAAGUAUGCAAAUAGGUAAAGUGGUAGAAGAAAAUAUUGGGUAAAAAAACAAAAAACGAGUCAAAGAAAUCACUAACCUUUAGGGUUUCACUGCAAACGGCGAACACUCUACCUCCUCACCACGAACAACUUCGUUUGGCUCGAGUGGUCACCAAUUUCAUCGAAACCCUCUACCUCCUCACCGCGAAGAACUUCGUCUGACCUAGGGUUUCCAGCGCACACCAGCCAAGUCCAGAAUUUGUGAAGAAGAACGCACGCAAAACAAAGAAGAAGGUGAUGAAAUUUGGGGAGAAGAAGGCGCUGGAAUUUGGGGAGAAGAAGGGGCUCGUCGGAGUGUGAAACCAGAGCGGGAAAUGCAAUACUGAAGGUGAAGACGUAAGUUUUCACUUGAGAGGGAAUAAUACGAAAAGAGUUUCCCA
rnacentral:lncRNA from 1 species